CGAGAACGGACUUAAGCUUGCUUAAGUUGUCAGCUAAGUGGCGCACGGGUGAGUAAUGUAUAGUUAACCUGCCCUCGAGAAAGGAAUAACAGAUGGAAACGUCUGCUAAUGCCCUAUAUGCCCAUAAUACAUAAGUAUGCUGGGGAAAUGCUUUAGUGCUCGAGGAUGGGACUGUAUGGUAUCAGAUAGUUGGUGAGGUAAUGGCUCACCAAGUCAAUGACGCCUAACUGGUUUGAGAGGAUGAUCAGUCACACUGGAACUGAGACACGGUCCAGACUCCUACGGGAGGCAGCAGUGGGGAAUAUUGCACAAUGGAGGAAACUCUGAUGCAGCAACGCCGCGUGGAGGAUGACACUUUUCGGAGCGUAAACUCCUUUUAUAUAGGAAGAUAAUGACGGUACUAUAUGAAUAAGCACCGGCUAACUCCGUGCCAGCAGCCGCGGUAAUACGGAGGGUGCAAGCGUUACUCGGAAUCACUGGGCGUAAAGAGCGUGUAGGCGGGUUAUUAAGUCAGAAGUGAAAUCCUAUGGCUCAACCAUAGAACUGCUUUUGAAACUGGUAACCUAGAGUAUGGGAGAGGUAGAUGGAAUUUCUGGUGUAGGGGUAAAAUCCGUAGAGAUCAGAAGGAAUACCGAUUGCGAAGGCGAUCUACUGGAACAUUACUGACGCUGAGACGCGAAAGCGUGGGGAGCAAACAGGAUUAGAUACCCUGGUAGUCCACGCCCUAAACGAUGUACACUAGUUGUUGCCAUGCUAGACAUGGCAGUAAUGCAGUUAACACAUUAAGUGUACCGCCUGGGGAGUACGGUCGCAAGAUUAAAACUCAAAGGAAUAGACGGGGACCCGCACAAGCGGUGGAGCAUGUGGUUUAAUUCGACGAUACGCGAAGAACCUUACCUGGACUUGACAUUUACAGAACUUUCAAGAGAUUGAUUGGGUCUGCUUGCA
rnacentral:rRNA from 1 species